UGGGGUGGCAAGCGUUUUCCGGAAUUAUUGGGGGUAAAGCGUCCGUAGGGGGUUUUUCAAGUCCGUUGUGAAAGCCCGGGGCUUACCUCCGGACAGCCAGUGGAAASUGCGAAACUGGAGUGCGCAAGGGGGAAGGGGAAUUCCCGGUGUAGCGGUGAAAUGCGUAGAGAUUGGGAAGAACCCCGGUGGGGAAAGCGCUCUUCUGGGUCUUAACUGACACUGAGGGACGAAAGCCAGGGGAGCGAAAGGGAUUAGAUACCCCGGUAGUCC
rnacentral:rRNA from 1 species